UACGUAGGCAGCGAGCGUUGUUCGGAGUUACUGGGCGUAAAGGGUGUGUAGGCGGCCUAUUAAGUUUGGUGUGAAAUCUCCCGGCUCAACCGGGAGGGUGCGCCGAAAACUGGGAGGCUAGAGUGCGGGAUGGGAGAGUGGAAUUCCUGGUGUAGCGGUGAAAUGCGUAGAUAUCUGGAGGAACACCGGUGGCGAAGGCGGCAUCCUGGACCGAUAUUGACGCUGAGGAGCGAAAGCCAGGGGAGCAAACGGG
rnacentral:rRNA from 1 species